CGCGCCUCCUUUCCUUCGGUCUUUCCUUUCUUUUUGUUGCCGCUCCAAGUCACUUUCUGGCUACAGGUAAGAAGAGAAGCACCAUCGUGGAAGAGAUUAUCAACAGAAAUCAGAAUGCGUGUACAAAUGGCAGCCAUGCAAAAGGGUAAGAUUCAUCGUUUCAAGGCUUCUGCAAUGCAACACAGAUGUAUCACAGAUUCCAGUUUUAAAUGUUUAGGAGCGUUACAAACAAACUUUGUUGUAAUUAGAUGAGAAAAAAAAUCUGUAUUUUAUAUAAUCAUACACU